rnacentral:tRNA from 1 species
GCCAGUGUUGCUCAGUGGUAGAGCAUCAGUCCACACACCGAAGAGUCAUGGGUUCAAUUUCCGGUCAAGGGCA